UACGGAGGGUGCAAGCGUUAUCCGGAUUCACUGGGUUUAAAGGGUGCGUAGGCGGCUUAUUAAGUCAGGGGUGAAAGACUGCAGCUCAACUGUAGCAGUGCCUUUGAUACUGAUGAGCUUGAGUACAGAUGAGGCUGGCGGAAUGGGUGGUGUAGCGGUGAAAUGCAUAGAUACCAUCCAGAACACCGAUUGCGAAGGCAGCCGGCUAAACUGUAACUGACGCUGAGGCACGAAAGCGUGGGGAUCGAACAGG
rnacentral:rRNA from 1 species